rnacentral:rRNA from 1 species
ACGGAGGGGGCUAGCGUUGUUCGGAAUUACUGGGCGUAAAGCGCACGUAGGCGGCUAUCCAAGUUGGGGGUGAAAUCCCUGGGCUUAACCCAGGAACUGCCUUCAAAACUGGAUGGCUAGAGUCCGAGAGAGGUGAGUGGAAUUUCCAGUGUAGAGGUGAAAUUCGUAGAUAUUGGAAAGAACACCAGUGGCGAAGGCGGCUCACUGGCUCGGUACUGACGCUGAGGUGCGACAGCGUGGGGAGCAAACAGG